CCUGAGAAACCCAAAAGAUCGAAUGGGGAGAUUCAUCGUCAGCUCAUUUUGUAUAUAUAUAAUAUAUGAUGUGAGUUACUACUUUUGUGGUAGUAUUGCUUAUACAUUAUUAUAUAUUUAUUUGCAAGAUGUUGUCGGCGUGCACUUCUUCCCUAGUAGAACAUCGCGACCCGUUGAAUGUCGGUCUACGACUUAAGAAUUAAGUCUUUAAUUAAUUUUUAUUAAUUUAUUAAAGAAUCUUAAUGUUUUCUGACCGGCUAUUCGGCGGUACACGUAAGGUAUUAAGCCGCAUAUAUUUUAUAUAUUUGCGUUCAUUUCUGUCGCAAGCGAGGCUAAUUACUAAUAGUUUUACGGACUUAGUGCCGUCAUUAGUAUUGGCCAGCUGUUGGUUGUUACAGUUAAUCUAGAACAGGCUUAUUUAUAUUACCGGUCGGCGAUGCUAAUGCUUUGGGUACUUUCAG
rnacentral:rRNA from 1 species